CACGUAGGAGGCGAACGUUAUCCGGAUUUACUGGGCGUAAAGCGCGUGUAGGUGGUUCGGUAAGUAGGGCGUGAAAGCUCCCGGCUCAACUGGGAGAGGCCGUUCUAAACUGCCGAGCUAGAGGAUGGUAGAGGGAGGUGGAAUUCCGAGUGUAGCGGUGGAAUGCGCAGAUAUUCGGAGGAACACCAGUGGCGAAGGCGGCCUCCUGGACCAUUCCUGACACUCAGACGCGAAAGCUAGGGUAGCAAACGGGAUUAGAGACCCCGGUAGUCCUAGCCCUAAACGAUGUUGACUAGGCGUCGGUGGCUUAAUCGCCAUCGGUGUCCAAGCUAACGCGAUAAGUCAACCGCCUGGGGACUACGGCCGCAAGGUUAAAACUCAAAGGAAUUGACGGGUCCCCGCACAAGCAGCGGAGCGAGUGGUUUAAUUCGUUGCUACGCGAAGAACCUUACCUGGGUUUGACAUAGCAGUGGUAGGGAAGUGAAAACGGACCGACCCUUCGGGGAGCUGUUACAGGUGUUGCAUGGCU
rnacentral:rRNA from 1 species